AUGAAGGUGCUGGCGGACACGCUCACCUCUAUUGGUCGUCCACUUAGCGAUGACGAGUUCGCCGGCUUCGUCAUCAAAGGCCUUGACGCCGACUACGACAAUCUCGGCGAGGCCGUCCACAACGCCAAGCCAACGAUGCCUCCUCACGAGCUCUACUCAUGCCUCCUCUUCACCGAGCAACGCGUCGAGGCUCGUCGCUCCUCCGCCACCAUCAACGCCCAGCCGGCGGCCUUCUGGGCCUCUCGUGGCCAGCGCCCACCUGCCCCGUCACCUGGCAAGACAGCCCCGCCCCCUACAUCGACCCUGGGUGGGGGCCCUAACACUAGGGUGAUGUGCCAGCUAUGUGGUCGUGAACGCCAUGUCGCCUCCAAGUGUCACCGCCGCUUUCAGAGGAGCUUCCUUGGCAUCGGCAUCGACGACAAGGGCAACGAGCGCCAGUUUGCCAUGGCAGAAUUUGGUCCUCCCGCCGCCGUCCCGGCUGCCCACAUCGCUGCCGCCCCAUCUGCCCACAUGGCCGCCAAGGGCAAGGACCCGCGCGUCGAGCAGGGAUACACACCAUCCUACCCUGUUGAUCCAGCCUGGUAUAUGGACACCGGCGCUACGGAUCACAUGACGAACGAGCUCAACAAACUCUCCACCUACCAGCCCUACUACGGGCACAAUCAGGUUCAUUCGCCUUUUCCUUUUAUAGCACGUUGCUGGGCCAGCCCACUUCCCGUCCGUGCAAGACCAGCGGCGCGAACCGGCGCCUGCAACGCUCAAUAG
rnacentral:rRNA from 1 species